AAAAAGGGGAGCCUGCGUAAGCAGGCUGAGAGUAAGCUGAUAUUGCUUAGACCCGUAACCUGAUUUGGAUAAUGCCAACGUAGGGAGAUAUGGA
rnacentral:ncRNA from 1 species